rnacentral:rRNA from 1 species
UACGUAGGGUGCGAGCGUUGUCCGGAGUUAUUGGGCGUAAAGCGCGCGCAGGCGGCCUCGCGCGCCCGACGUGAAAGCCCCGGCUUAACCGGGAACUGCGUCUGAUACUGGAUGGCUAGAGGUUGGGAGAGGAUGCGGAAUUCCAGGUGUAGCGGUGAAAUGCGUAGAUAUCUGGAGGAACACCGGUGGCGAAGGCGGCAUCCUGGACCAAUUCUGACGCUGAUGAGCGAAAGCCAGGGGAGCAACGG